GUGGGGAAUAUUGGACAAUGGGCGAAAGCCUGAUCCAGCCAUGCCGCGUGUGUGAAGAAGGUCUUCGGAUUGUAAAGCACUUUAAGUUGGGAGGAAGGGCAGUAAGUUAAUACCUUGCUGUUUUGACGUUACCGACAGAAUAAGCACCGGCUAACUUCGUGCCAGCAGCCGCGGUAAUACGAAGGGUGCAAGCGUUAAUCGGAAUUACUGGGCGUAAAGCGCGCGUAGGUGGUUCAGCAAGUUGGAGGUGAAAUCCCCGGGCUCAACCUGGGAACUGCCUCCAAAACUGCAUGACUAGAGUACGGUAGAGGGUAGUGGAAUUUCCUGUGUAGCGGUGAAAUGCGUAGAUAUAGGAAGGAACACCAGUGGCGAAGGCGACUACCUGGACUGAUACUGACACUGAGGUGCGAAAGCGUGGGGAGCAAACAGGAUUAGAAACCCCGGUAGUCC
rnacentral:rRNA from 1 species